GCCUGGGUGGCUUAGUCAGUUUAGUGUCUGAUUUCAGCUCAGGUCAUGAUCUCACGGUUCGUGAGUUUGAGUCCCACAUCGGGCU
rnacentral:tRNA from 1 species